rnacentral:rRNA from 1 species
UGGGGAAUAUUGGACAAUGGGGGCAACCCUGAUCCAGCAAUGCCGCGUGAGUGAUGAAGGCCUUCGGGUUGUAAAGCUCUUUUGCCAGGGACGAUGAUGACGGUACCUGGAGAAUAAGCCCCGGCUAACUUCGUGCCAGCAGCCGCGGUAAUACGAAGGGGGCUAGCGUUGUUCGGAAUUACUGGGCGUAAAGGGCGCGUAGGCGGCCGAUUGAGUCAGGCGUGAAAGUCCCGGGCUUAACCUGGGGGCGGCGCUUGAGACUGGUCGGCUUGGAUUCGGGAGAGGAUGGCGGAAUUCCCAGUGUAGAGGUGAAAUUCGUAGAUAUUGGGAAGAACACCGGUGGCGAAGGCGGCCAUCUGGCCCGAGAUUGACGCUGAGGCGCGAAAGCGUGGGGAGCAAACAGG